CUGCCUCCCCCUAAGGUGAAGAGGUCAACAAUGGACAUGAGGAAGACAAGAUUAUGUCUAAUACUUCACUUCUGUAUUCAGAGAACAUAAUGACAGUAAUACGGAGGUCAGUGAUAACAAAGAAAAGCUCAAAUAAGUAAGCAUUCAGUUUUGUAGGGAAAAGAAGAAGAAGGAAGAGGAGGAAGAGGAGGAGGAGGAAAAGGAGAAGGAGAAGGAGAGGAAGAG